AAGAGUGCGUAAUAGCUCACUGGUCAAGUGAUUCCGCGCCGAUAAUGUAGCGGGGCUUAAGUUAUCCGCCGAAGCUGUGGCAACCUGUGUGGUUGGGUAGGGGAGCGUCGUGUCAGUGGUGAAGCUGCCGGGUGACUGUGUGGUGGAGUUGAUGCGAGUGAGAAUGCAGGCAUGAGUAGCGUGUGACGGGUGGGAAUCCCGUCCGCCGAUUAUCCAAGGGUUCCAGGGUCAAGUUUGUCUGCCCUGGGUGAGUCGGGUCCUAAGGCGAGGCCGACAGGCGUAGUCGAUGGGUAACCAGUUGAUAUUCUGGUACCGGCUUGUCACCGUCCGUGUCGAGGUGUGUGAUGCUAAGCAUGUGAGCUUGUCUUGGGAGUGUUUUUGAUGCUUCUGGGGUGGGUGAGUGUGUGAACCGAUCAUGUAGUAGGCAAGCUGCGGAGGGACGCAGUGAGGUAGCUCAUCCCCGGUGAUGGUUGUCCGGGGCUAAGUGUGUGGACUGUCUGGUAGGUAAAUCCGCUGGGCGUGAAGGUUGAGGCAUGAUGGGGAGCCCAUGGUUGUGGGUGAGUGAGUGAUCCUGUACUGUCGAGAAAAGCUUCGUGAGCGAGGUGGCGGGUCCGCCCGUACCCUAAACCGACACUGGUGGAUAGGUAGAGUAUACCGAGGCGAUCGAGUGAAUCGUGGUGAAGGAACUCGGCAAAAUGCCCCCGUAACUUUGGAAGAAGGGGGACCGAUGUUGGUGAGCACUUUUUCGGUGUGAGCUGGUGUUGGUCGCAGAGACCAGAGAGAAGCGACUGUUUACUAAAAACACAGGUCCGUGCGAAGCCGUAAGGCGAUGUAUACGGACUGACGCCUGCCCGGUGCUGGAAGGUUAAGAGGAGUGGUUAGCUUCUGCGAAGCUACGAAUCGAAGCCCCAGUAAACGGCGGCCGUAACAAUAACGGUCCUAAGGUAGCGAAAUUCCUUGUCGGGUAAGUUCCGACCUGCACGAAUGGAGUAACGACUUCCCCGCUGUCUCAACCGUGAACUCGGCGAAAUUGCAUUACGAGUAAAGAUGCUCGUUACGCGCGGCAGGACGAAAAGACCCCGGGACCUUCACUAUAGCUUGGUAUUGGUGUUUGGUUCGGUUUGUGUAGGAUAGGUGGGAGACGUUGAUGCGGCCACGCUAGUGGUGGUGGAGUCGUUGUUGAAAUACCACUCUGAUCGGAUUGAGCAUCUAACCUUGGCCCAUGAUCUGGGUUGGGGACAGUGCCUGGUGGGUAGUUUAACUGGGGCGGUUGCCUCCCAAAAUGUAACGGAGGCGCCCAAAGGUUCCCUCAGCCUGGUUGGUAAUCAGGUGGUGAGUGUAAGUGCACAAGGGAGCUUGACUGUGAGACUGACAAGUCGAACAGGGACGAAAGUCGGGACUAGUGAUC
rnacentral:rRNA from 1 species